GAUGAACGCUGGCGGCGUGCCUAAUACGUGCAAGUCGAGCGAAUGGAUUAAGAGCUUGCUCUUAUGAAGUUAGCGGCGGACGGGUGAGUAACACGUGGGUAACCUGCCCAUAAGACUGGGAUAACUCCGGGAAACCGGGGCUAAUACCGGAUAACAUUUUGAACCGCAUGGUUCGAAAUUGAAAGGCGGCUUCGGCUGUCACUUAUGGAUGGACCCGCGUCGCAUUAGCUAGUUGGUGAGGUAACGGCUCACCAAGGCAACGAUGCGUAGCCGACCUGAGAGGGUGGUCGGCCACACUGAGGGUGAGACACGGGCCAGACUCCUACGGGAGGAAGCAGUAGGGAAUCUUCCGCAAUGUACGAAAGUCUGACGGAGCAACGCCGCGUGAGUGAUGAAGGCUUUCGGGUCGUAAAACUCUGUUGUUAGGGAAGAACAAGUGCUAGUUGAAUAAGCUGGCACCUUGACGGUACCUAACCAGAAAGCCACGGCUAACUACGUGCCAGCCGCCGCAGUAA
rnacentral:rRNA from 1 species